AUUGAACGCUGGCGGCAUGCUUUACACAUGCAAGUCGAACGGCAGCGCGGGCUUUGGCCUGGCUGCUAGUGGCGCUCGGGUGAGUAAUACAUCGGAAUGUCCCCCGUAGGGGGGGGUAGUACGUUGAAAGCCGGAUUAAUACCACAUACGACGAGCGCGUGAUACCGGGGGGGCUUUGGACCGUUUCCUCGUUUGGCGACCGAUGGCCGGUUAGUCAGUUGGUGGGGUAAAGGAUUACGAAGGAGGCGAUCUGGAGCUGGUCUGAGUGGACGGCUAGCCACACUGGGACUGAGACACGGCCCAGUCUCCUAGGGGAGGCGGCAGUGGGGAUUUUUGGACCAGGGGCGGGAGCCUGAUCCGGCAAUGCCGCGGGUGUGAUGAGGACCUUCGGGUUGUAAAGCACGUUUGGCGGGAACGAAAAGGAUUGUGCCAAUACCGCGGCUCGAUGACGGUACCCGCAGAAUAAGCACCGGCUAACUACGUG
rnacentral:rRNA from 1 species